rnacentral:rRNA from 1 species
AACGAACGCUGGCGGCAUGCCUAACACAUGCAAGUCGAACGAGAUCUUCGGGUCUAGUGGCGCACGGGUGCGUAACGCGUGGGAAUCUGCCCUUUGGUUCGGAAUAACAGUUGGAAACGACUGCUAAUACCGGAUGAUGACGAAAGUCCAAAGAUUUAUCGGCAGAGGAUGAGCCCGCGUAGUAUUAGCUAGUUGGUGUGGUAAAGGCGCACCAAGGCGACGAUCCUUAGCUGGUCUGAGAGGAUGAUCAGCACACUGGGACUGAGACACGGCCCAGACUCCUACAGGAGGCAGCAGUGGGGAAUAUUGGACAAUGGGCGAAAGCCUGAUCCAGCAAUGCCGCGUGAGUGAUGAAGGCCUUAGGGUUGUAAAGCUCUUUUACCCGGGAUGAUAAUGACAGUACCGGGAGAAUAAGCUCCGGCUAACUCCGUGCCAGCCGCCGCAGUAA